rnacentral:rRNA from 1 species
CUGUACGUAAUAACUGUCGAGAUAGAAGAACAAGCUGGGAAGCUUGACCAUAGCGGGUGACAGUCCCGUAUUCGAAAUCUCAACAGCGGUACUAAGCGUACGAAAAGUAGGGCGGGACACGUGAAAUCCUGUCUGAAUAUGGGGGGACCAUCCUCCAAGGCUAAAUACUCAUCAUCGACCGAUAGUGAACCAGUACCGUGAGGGAAAGGCGAAAAGAACCCCGGGAGGGGAGUGAAACAGAACCUGAAACCUGAUGCAUACAAACAGUGGGAGCGCCCUAGUGGUGUGACUGCGUACCUUUUGUAUAAUGGGUCAACGACUUACAUUCAGUAGCGAGCUUAACCGGAUAGGGGAGGCGUAGGGAAACCGAGUCUUAAUAGGGCGAUGAGUUGCUGGGUGUAGACCCGAAACCGAGUGAUCUAUCCAUGGCCAGGUUGAAGGUGCCGUAACAGGUACUGGAGGACCGAACCCACGCAUGUUGCAAAAUGCGGGGAUGAGCUGUGGGUAGGGGUGAAAGGCUAAACAAACUCGGAGAUAGCUGGUUCUCCCCGAAAACUAUUUAGGUAGUGCCUCGAGCAAGACACUGAUGGGGGUAAAGCACUGUUAUGGCUAGGGGGUUAUUGCAACUUACCAACCCAUGGCAAACUCAGAAUACCAUCAAGUGGUUCCUCGGGAGACAGACAGCGGGUGCUAACGUCCGUUGUCAAGAGGGAAACAACCCAGACCGCCGGCUAAGGUCCCAAAUGAUAGAUUAAGUGGUAAACGAAGUGGGAAGGCACAGACAGCCAGGAUGUUGGCUUAGAAGCAGCCAUCAUUUAAAGAAAGCGUAAUAGCUCACUGGUCGAGUCGUCCUGCGCGGAAGAUGUAACGGGGCUCAAAUCUAUAACCGAAGCUGCGGAUGCCGGUUUACCGGCAUGGUAGGGGAGCGUUCUGUAGGCUGAUGAAGGUGCAUUGUAAAGUGUGCUGGAGGUAUCAGAAGUGCGAAUGUUGACAUGAGUAGCGAUAAAGCGGGUGAAAAGCCCGCUCGCCGAAAGCCCAAGGUUUCCUACGCAACGUUCAUCGGCGUAGGGUAAGUCGGCCCCUAAGGCGAGGCAGAAAUGCGUAGUCGAUGGGAAACAGGUUAAUAUUCCUGUACUUGAUUCAAAUGCGAUGUGGGGACGGAGAAGGUUAGGUUGGCAAGCUGUUGGAAUAGCUUGUUUAAGCCGGUAGGUGGAAGACUUAGGCAAAUCCGGGUUUUCUUAACACCGAGAAGUGAUGACGAGUGUCUACGGACACGAAGCAACCGAUACCACGCUUCCAGGAAAAGCCACUAAGCUUCAGUUUGAAUCGAACCGUACCGCAAACCGACACAGGUGGGCAGGAUGAGAAUUCUAAGGCGCUUGAGAGAACUCGGGAGAAGGAACUCGGCAAAUUGAUACCGUAACUUCGGGAGAAGGUAUGCCCUCUAAGGUUAAGGACUUGCUCCGUAAGCCCCGGAGGGUCGCAGAGAAUAGGUGGCUGCGACUGUUUAUUAAAAACACAGCACUCUGCCAACACGAAAGUGGACGUAUAGGGUGUGACGCCUGCCCGGUGCCGGAAGGUUAAUUGAAGAUGUGCAAGCAUCGGAUCGAAGCCCCGGUAAACGGCGGCCGUAACUAUAACGGUCCUAAGGUAGCGAAAUUCCUUGUCGGGUAAGUUCCGACCCGCACGAAUGGCGUAACGAUGGCCACACUGUCUCCUCCCGAGACUCAGCGAAGUUGAAGUGGUUGUGAAGAUGCAAUCUACCCGCUGCUAGACGGAAAGACCCCGUGAACCUUUACUGUAGCUUUGCAUUGGACUUUGAAGUCACUUGUGUAGGAUAGGUGGGAGGCUUGGAAGCAGAGACGCCAGUCUCUGUGGAGUCGUCCUUGAAAUACCACCCUGGUGUCUUUGAGGUUCUAACCCAGACCCGUCAUCCGGGUCGGGGACCGUGCAUGGUAGGCAGUUUGACUGGGGCGGUCUCCUCCCAAAGCGUAACGGAGGAGUUCGAAGGUUACCUAGGUCCGGUCGGAAAUCGGACUGAUAGUGCAAUGGCAAAAGGUAGCUUAACUGCGAGACCGACAAGUCGGGCAGGUGCGAAAGCAGGACAUAGUGAUCCGGUGGUUCUGUAUGGAAGGGCCAUCGCUCAACGGAUAAAAGGUACUCCGGGGAUAACAGGCUGAUUCCGCCCAAGAGUUCAUAUCGACGGCGGAGUUUGGCACCUCGAUGUCGGCUCAUCACAUCCUGGGGCUGUAGUCGGUCCCAAGGGUAUGGCUGUUCGCCAUUUAAAGUGGUACGUGAGCUGGGUUUAAAACGUCGUGAGACAGUUUGGUCCCUAUCUGCAGUGGGCGUUGGAAGUUUGACGGGGGCUGCUCCUAGUACGAGAGGACCGGAGUGGACGAACCUCUGGUGUACCGGUUGUAACGCCAGUUGCAUAGCCGGGUAGCUAAGUUCGGAAGAGAUAAGCGCUGAAAGCAUCUAAGCGCGAAACUCGCCUGAAGAUGAGACUUCCCUUGCGGUUUAACCGCACUAAAGGGUCGUUCGAGACCAGGACGUUGAUAGGUGGGGUGUGGAAGCGCGGUAACGCGUGAAGCUAACCCAUACUAAUUGCCCGUGAGGCUUGACUCU